rnacentral:rRNA from 1 species
GAGUAAUCAAGCGUCUUAAGGGCAUUUGGUGGAUGCCUUGGCGCGCAGAGGCGAUGAAGGACGUGGCACGCUGCGAUAAGCCAUGGGGAGCUGUGAGCAAGCUUUGAUCCGUGGAUUUCCGAAUGGGGAAACCCAACCCGCAAGGGUUAUCGUUACCUGAAUACAUAGGGUAACGAAGCGAACCCGGGGAACUGAAACAUCUCAGUACCCGGAGGAAAGGACAUCAACCG